rnacentral:rRNA from 1 species
AGAGUUUGAUCAUGGCUCAGGACGAACGCUGGCGGCGUGCUUAACACAUGCAAGUGGAGCGACGAACCAGGCUUCGGCCUGGGGCAGAGCCGCGAACGGGUGAGUAACACGUGGGUAACCUGCCCCGAUGAUUGGGACAACCCGAGGAAACUCGGGCUAAUACCGAAUGUGCCCUCCGACCACAAGGUCGCUGGGGAAAGGUAGCUUUGGCUUCCGCAUCGGGAUGGGCCCGCGGCCCAUUAGCUUGUUGGUGAGGUAACGGCUCACCAAGGCUGCGAUGGGUAGCUGGUCUGAGAGGACGAUCAGCCACACUGGGACUGAGACACGGCCCAGACUCCUACGGGAGGCAGCAGUGGGGAAUCUUGCGCAAUGCGCGAAAGCGUGACGCAGCAACGCCGCGUGGGGGAAGAAGGCCUUCGGGUUGUAAACCCCUUUCAGUUGGGACGAAGCUUUACUGGUUAAUAGCCAGUUGGAGUGACGGUACCUUCAGAAGAAGCCCCCGGCUAACUACGUGCCAGCAGCCGCGGUAAUACGUAGGGGGCUAGCGUUGUCCGGAAUCAUUGGGCGUAAAGAGCGUGUAGGCGGCUUGGUAAGUCCGCUGUGAAAGUCCAGGGCUUAACCCUGGAAUGCCAGUGGAAACUGUCAGGCUAGAGUCCGGAAGAGGCGAGUGGAAUUCCUGGUGUAGCGGUGAAAUGCGCAGAUAUCAGGAGGAACACCAAUGGCGAAGGCAGCUCGCUGGGACGGUACUGACGCUGAGACGCGAAAGCGUGGGGAGCAAACAGGAUUAGAUACCCCGGUAGUCC